ACGCUCGACACCUACUGGAGGCAGCAGUGGGGAAUAUUGCACAAUGGGGGAAACCCUGAUGCAGCGACGCCGCGUGAAGGAAGAAGUAUCUCGGUAUGUAAACUUCUAUCAGCAGGGAANAAAGUGACGGUACCUGACUAAGAAGCCCCGGNUAACUACGUGCCCGNAGCCGCGGUAAUCUGAGCGGGCUGGCAAGGC
rnacentral:rRNA from 1 species